rnacentral:rRNA from 1 species
UACGAAGGGUGCAAACGUUGCUCGGAAUUAUUGGGCGUAAAGAGCUCGUAGGCGGCUUGUCGCGUCGGAUGUGAAAGCCCGGGGCUUAACUCCGGGUCUGCAUUCGAUACGGGCAGGCUAGAGUUCGGUAGGGGAGAUCGGAAUUCCUGGUGUAGCGGUGAAAUGCGCAGAUAUCAGGAGGAACACCGGUGGCGAAGGCGGAUCUCUGGGCCGAUACUGACGCUGAGGAGCGAAAGCGUGGGGAGCGAACAGG